CGGGGCCCUCUAGCUGGGAUCAGCAGGCCUUGUUUCACCAGGCCUACAACAACGUCGCGACCCAACACCCCAACAGCGCCACCGACUGGAUAAUGGAUUCAGGCGCCUCUUCACACGUCACAGGUCAGCAAGGAUCUCGCCAGCAGGACGGUUCUCAUGCGCUCCAAUAGCCCAGGUCCACUCUACCCCUUCCAUGGUGAUUCGGAGCACACCACGAUGGCUCUCUCCGUUGCGGUCGACGGUGAUACCUGGCACAAACGGCUUGGUCACCCCGGCCACGCUACUCUCUCACGUCUUUCUCGUGAUUUUAUUCAGCUUUGUAAUAAACCGACCCCUGUAUGCUCAUC